GUGGUGGUGCAAUGGGUCAAUGCGUUUGGCUGUUAACCAGAAGGUUGGUGGUUCGAGCCCACCGAGGCACA
rnacentral:tRNA from 1 species